GUUGUUGUGGUUGGUUCAUGUCUGUCAUAUUUGUUUUGUUAUAAAUUAGGCCUUUAGUUUUCUCAAUUAAGCGUUUAAUAUUUUUCAUGUCGGGGCCUUUUAUAGCCCACUAUACGGUAUGGGGUUUUCUCAUUGUUGAAGGCCGUACGGUUGCCUAUAAUUGCUUACAUCCACUUUUUUGAACUUUGGUGGAUAGUUGUUUCAUUGGCAAUCAUACCACAUCUCCCUAUUUUUAUACGUAAAAUUUUACGUUACAAGAGAAAUAUCUAACGCCACAGUGCAAUGAUUGUUGUAUGAUGCUUUUUUUGUAUCAAAAUGUUGAGUCGAAUGUCGCAGAUUUCCGAACAGCGAUAAGGCAUAUUGGUAAUUACCGGAACUUUUCAGUUCCAAGAUUUAGCAAUCGGUAUGAAAAUAUAAACUUACAAUCAAAUCAAACUGCACAAAACAAAGGGACGAUAACUUACAAGUAGACAUGCAAACUUAAAUGUCAACGAUCAAGCUACAGAUAUCACAAUGAAUCGAAAUAAAAGUUAUUAAACCAAAGUAUCGGCAGUUUAGAAUUAUAAAUGUCACAGGUGCUGAAUUGGAAUCAUUCCUUCAGGAGCAACAAAAAUCUAGAUCUACUCUCAAUAUUUUUCAAUCAUUCAUGAAAACAAAACUCAAUGUGAAAGGAAAUGUUUAAGGAAUCCCUCCCUAAGUGUAAGACAUAAUGAUAUGUUUUUUAGUGCAACAAAAGAGAUAGAAAUAAAUGGAACAAUUAAAUAUGAACCAUCGUCGAAUUUAAUUUAGUAAAAUCAAUUAAUCAAAGAUAAUACUGAAAGAAUUUGAAGAAAGCAGGACACAAUACCUUGUAGACCUGAUACAAUGAAAAAAGAUGAUUUCCAUCUUUAAAUACAAGCAAAUACUUUUCAAGGUACCAAUUAUGAAGGUACUUUGGUACAAAAACCUUAGAUUUACACGGUACAAAAUCGAUAUCUAAAAUAUUUUUUUUUAAAUGGAGCUUCUGAAGAACUGGCUUAUGGUAAGAGAUUCAUAGGUCACACUGCAAGGAAAGGGUCAAUUCAGAAACAGAAAGACGCCGGAGUUCAGGUCACUAUAAUAGUUCAAAGAACAGGACAUACAAAUGUGAACAAUUUUAUAUUAUCAUGUUCAAAAACACAUAAUUAAUGGCACUCACAACAAGAAAAACAAAUAAUGCAUGCUAUAAUGUCAACCAGUAAAGAAAUACCAAAUCUGUAGAAACAAUUACUUCAGUAAGUAACAAUAACAUUAACUAUUAGCAAUAAAAUAAUCAGUCUAUUUAUCAUUGACAUGUUGAGCUUGCUUUUAGUAAUUUGUUUUGCAUUCCAUUAACAAUGUAUUCGUUUAUCAAUAUCUCUUGUAAUUAAAAUUAUACAUUUAGUUAGUUUGUAUCGGACUUAUAUGGUUAAUUAAGUUUUUUUAAAGCUAAGAAUUUAAAGGCACCAUAUAUGGCAAAUGAGUAAACUGUUGAUUUUAAUAUUAUGAUUAUCAUAAUCAAAAGAAAAAAAACCCAUUUAUUUAAAUUCUUUUCAAAAGAUGAUUCGAAAUUCCUCGAUACAUAAUGGUGUUAUUUCAAAAAUACAAAUUCACGUUUACAAAAUCGUUCAAGGUAACUUGAAUCAUAAUACAACAAUGAACCCAAGUGUUAUGUUUAUUUAUGUAUUUUCAUACUACUUAAGUCAAGAGACUAUUUUUUGUAAACAUGAUCAAUCCGGUGUGUCAUUUAAAUAGAUAAGAUCUUGUUGGUAAAUUUCCAUGUGACAUGAGUAGUAUAAAUAGACUGUGUUUUACACAGUUGAUUCAGACAUAUAUUUAAACCUUGGAAGUUGUACACAAAAAAAGGAAACAGCCUUAAGCGAGCAUGGAUACUAAAUGUUUGAUGGUGCUUUUUAUGUUCCUGUAUAUUGUGUUUGUUUCUACAAUUGAGGCAGUUCAUUACAUUACCAAACCAUUUCUGUUUAUCGGAUCAUGUUAUGGGAAAGGAAAACGUGUGAUAGGACAAAAUACAGCAGAAAUGGAUUGAAGAAUUUACUUUAUUGGAAGAAAUUAAUAAGGAUUACAUAAUACCAGGAAUGAACAAUUCGUGCUGAGACAAAUCGAAGAUGAAUUAAACAAAGAUGCUCCGAUUCUCGACACUAUUCGAUCCCGUACCGACUUCAUAGUCAACAUUGCACCGGAGAAGAACUGCGAUGACGAUAAGCUUAGAGGAUAAUUCGUCAACGGUUUUAAAGGCUACGAUCGUAAUUUAAGAGAAAUAUUUGACAUAAACUUCGAUGUACAUAAAAGAACAGUAAUACAUUUGCAGCAAAAAAGAUCAUAAAUAAAAACAGCGAUGUAUAAGUGUUGUUAGUUGUUUACAAUAUAUAGCGGUUUUAUUAUAUACAAAUGCGUGGGAAGCUUUAAUGUUAUCUUCUUUGCCAUUUGAUAUUUAGUUUUUAACUUCCUAAUAUAUAACUUAGCUCAAACUGAU